rnacentral:tRNA from 1 species
GGAGGCGUCGCAUAGCGGUCUAGUGCGCUCGCUUGGAAAGCGAGUAGGGCGAAAGCUCUCAGAGGUUCGAAUCCUCUCGCCUCCG